rnacentral:lncRNA from 1 species
CCACUUUUAGUCAUAUUUGCUGUAUCAUUGCGAUCCAUUUUUAUAACUGUAGUUUUCCAGAGUACCAUGACAAAUUACAAAUUAUGGAUUUACAUUUGCCUAGAGCGUGCCUGAAUUAGGUUAUUUCAGAAGAAUGAGUUGUGCACAUAGAAAUUAGUACGUUUAUUUAGAAAUACAAUAGUCAACAAAACAAAAUUAAAAUAUUCCAAUAUAUAAUAUUAAAUACAUAAAAACAAACAAUACAUAACAAAGGCAUUAGUUAAUUAUAACAAAGCAAUGCUAGGGCUGCAACCUUUACAAGAACAAUUUGCCUAUGUACCAAAUAACAAUAUAUGCAUCAAAUAUUUUAUAAUUAAGUAAGGGAGUGCCGACUUUACAACAAAAUUAACCUGCGUACACCUGACUUCUAUCAUUAACAUGUGUUUAGAGCGAGUUCAAAUUAUACAGGUUACACUGUAUUUUUUUUUUAUCUACUGCUAUGUAUAGUUGAAAUGUCUUUAAUUUGUAGAAAAAUAUGAAUAACUUAUUGACUAGUUUUUAAUAAAUUGAGUAUAGAUCUUGUAACGAGUAUCUAACAUCUGAGUAUUGUAAAAAUAAACCAAAAAUAAUUAACAAAUUGUAUCUCUAUAAUAAUAACAAAUCAGAACUAAUAUAUUAAAUAAACUUUAAAAAACAAAAUUUUAUGGCACAUAAAUU